rnacentral:rRNA from 1 species
GACGAACCGUGCGAACGUUGUUCGGAAUCACUGGGCUUAAAGGGCGCGUAGGCGGGGAGGUAAGUCAGGGGUGAAAGCCCACGGCCCAACCGUGGAAGUGCCUUUGAUACUGCCUGUCUCGAGGGAGGUAGGGGCGUGCGGAACUUCCGGUGGAGCGGUGAAAUGCGUAGAUAUCGGAAGGAACACCGGUGGCGAAAGCGGCGCGCUGGACCUCUUCUGACGCUGAGGCGCGAAAGCCAGGGGAGCGAACGGG